CGUCAUCAUAAAAGCAGCUACCUAAAUUGCCACAUUCUUCUCCUCCCAUGUCCACAGAGAGAAUUGAUCUCUCUAUCUCUCUCAACGCUCAUCUGCUCGCGGAUUUUCAGGAUAGGGCUGCAGAUAAUCUCGUGUUAACCUAUCUCAAUCUCUCUCCCCCUCUCCAUCUCUCUCUCUCUCUAUCUGUAUUUCAUCUGGUAGAUUUUGAAAUCUGAGAGGGAAAACACAGGAAUUUUCUAAUUUUCUGUGAAGUUAGAGUGGGGGUGAGAGGUAAAGUGAUAGGAAAGGGCGUAUUGCGGGAAAUGGGAAUGAGUGCAGAGAUGAAGUUUUUGGGGAAAAUGCUUGUUCCGAUGAGGAAAGCAUGGACUAAAUUCGCUUAUCGUCUCCAUUUUCGCAGAACAGGGCUUGUGAAACUGCAUCGUGAUGUAAAGACUUGUGAGUAUGAAGAUGUUCAUAUCUUGUGGGAAAUGGUGAAGAGAUAUGAGAAAGAGAUGGCCACAUCUUCUGCAUCCUGCAGAGGACGACAACGUUGGGAUAUGCUAUAUUGUGCUCCAUUUCAGAGUCGCAGCAUGUAAAUCUCACAUUUAGCUCUGUAAAUUGUGUUUUGCCUCUUUUUGUUUACUUGGGUGAUCAACUUGAUCUUGAUACAUUUUGCUUUCUUGGUCCUCAAGUUAAUUUUUCAUCUUCUGAAUGCAAUCUCUUGGAUGUGAAUGUGAUGCAUUGAAUCCUUCCAGUUUUGAAUUGUAUUCAGUAAAUGGAAAAAAAAAAAAAAAGAAAAAAAAAAGAGGCCUAGUGUGCACCUUGUCAGUCUGGCUUUCCUUUGAAGUGUGGAAAAGUAUUGUUUUGCCAAUUUCUUGGUAUGAAUCCAAGCUUGCUGCCGAUGCUUCUUUA